rnacentral:snoRNA from 1 species
UAAUAAUGAUGACCUAAUUCAGUUCUGCUUCUGAAUUGUGUUGAAGAAGCUUUUACCCACACAUCUGAAGA